GACGGGGGGGGCAAGUGUUCUUCGGAAUGACUGGGCGUAAAGGGCACGUAGGCGGUGAAUCGGGUUGAAAGUGAAAGUCGCCAAAAAGUGGCGGAAUGCUCUCGAAACCAAUUCACUUGAGUGAGACAGAGGAGAGUGGAAUUUCGUGUGUAGGGGUGAAAUCCGUAAAUAUACGAAGGAACGCCAAAAGCGAAGGCAGCUCUCUGGGAUCCCUACCCGACGCUGGGG
rnacentral:rRNA from 1 species